rnacentral:rRNA from 1 species
AAAUUGAAGAGUUUGAUCAUGGCUCAGAUUGAACGCUGGCGGCAGGCCUAACACAUGCAAGUCGAACGGUAACAGGAAGCAGCUUGCUGCUUCGCUGACGAGUGGCGGACGGGUGAGUAAUGUCUGGGAAACUGCCUGAUGGAGGGGGAUAACUACUGGAAACGGUGGCUAAUACCGCAUAACGUCGCAAGACCAAAGAGGGGGACCUUCGGGCCUCUUGCCAUCAGAUGUGCCCAGAUGGGAUUAGCUUGUUGGUGAGGUAACGGCUCACCAAGGCAACGAUCCCUAGCUGGUCUGAGAGGAUGACCAGCCACACUGGAACUGAGACACGGUCCAGACUCCUACGGGAGGCAGCAGUGGGGAAUAUUGCACAAUGGGCGCAAGCCUGAUGCAGCCAUGCCGCGUGUAUGAAGAAGGCCUUCGGGUUGUAAAGUACUUUCAGCGGGGAGGAAGGUGUUGUGGUUAAUAACCGCAGCAAUUGACGUUACCCGCAGAAGAAGCACCGGCUAACU